rnacentral:rRNA from 1 species
GACAGAGGCCCCAAGCGUUAGGCGGAAUCACUGGGCUUAAAGCGUGUGUAGGCGGACGCCUAAGUGUCUUGUGAAAUCCCACGGCUCACCCGUGGAACUGCUGGGCAUACUGGGCGUCUUGGGCCAACUAGGGGCAGCCGGAACAAGCGGUGGAGCGGUGAAAUGCGUAGAUAUCGCUUGGAACGCCGAAGGUGAAAACAGGCUGCUGGGGUUGUGCCGACGCUGAGACAUGAAAGCCAGGGGAGCAAACGGG